rnacentral:rRNA from 1 species
GUGCCAGCAGCCGCGGUAAUACGUAGGGUGCAAGCGUUGUCCGGAAUUACUGGGCGUAAAGAGUUCGUAGGCGGUUUGUCGCGUCGUUUGUGAAAACCAGCAGCUCAACUGCUGGCUUGCAGGCGAUACGGGCAGACUUGAGUACUGCAGGGGAGACUGGAAUUCCUGGUGUAGCGGUGAAAUGCGCAGAUAUCAGGAGGAACACCGGUGGCGAAGGCGGGUCUCUGGGCAGUAACUGACGCUGAGGAACGAAAGCGUGGGUAGCGAACAGGAUUAGAUACCCUGGUAGUCC